rnacentral:lncRNA from 1 species
AGAUGCAUCUGCUCAAACUACUUCUCAUGAACUCACCAUCCAAAUGAUUUGAUUGGCUGCAUAAUUGGGCGUCAGGGCGCCAAAAUCAAUGAGAUCCAUCAGAUGUCUGGGGCGCAGAUCAAAAUUGCAAACCCAUGGAAGGAUCUACUGAUCGGCAGGUUACCAUCACCGGACCUGCUGCCAGCAUUAGCCUGGCUCAGUAUCUAAUCAAUGUCAGGCUUUCCCCGGAGACAGGUGGCACGGGGAGCAGCUAAAACAGAGCAGAUUCAUCCAUAAUCCCUUUCUGCUGUUCACCACCACCCAUGAUCCAUCCGUGUAGUUUCUGAACAGUCAGCGAUUCCAGGUUUUAAAUAGUUUGUAAAUUUUCAGUUUCUACACACUUCAUCAUCCACUCAUGACUUUUUAAUUAAAGUGUUUUAAUUCUUUUCUCUGUUC